rnacentral:rRNA from 1 species
GUGGGGAAUCUUGCGCAAUGGGCGAAAGCCUGACGCAGCCAUGCCGCGUGGGUGAAGAAGGUCUUCGGAUCGUAAAGCCCUUUCGACAGGGACGAUGAUGACGGUACCUGUAGAAGAAGCCCCGGCUAACUUCGUGCCAGCAGCCGCGGUAAUACGAAGGGGGCUAGCGUUACUCGGAAUUACUGGGCGUAAAGGGCGCGUAGGCGGCUCUGUUAGUCAGGCGUGAAAUUCCUGGGCUUAACCUGGGGACUGCGCUUGAUACUGCAGGGCUUGAGGCCGAGAGAGGGUGGUGGAAUUCCCAGUGUAGAGGUGAAAUUCGUAGAUAUUGGGAAGAACACCGGUGGCGAAGGCGACCACCUGGCUCGGUUCUGACGCUGAGGCGCGACAGCGUGGGGAGCAAACAGGAUUAGAUACCCUGGUAGUCC